AUCGCGAAGCGAUCGGAUUGACUUGGCUUUCAAGUGGUUGUACCACUUUUCCAGUUUCUGUUGUGAGUCUCGUUGUGAGACUCAACAUCAUGAAGAUAUCAUGGUCCCCACAAGACAAGGAGAAAUUCCUGACGUUCACAGCAUCCACUGUUAAACUCUACCAGACAUACAGUUAUUCACAAGGAGAAAUUCUGCCAGAGGGCUCUCUGCAGAUUUCUGAUGAGAGAUAUGCAGCAAACAUUGCCAGUGUGUCAGACUUGCCACAGAUGAAAUGUGUAGAGUGGUUUCCUGGUCAGACGGCAGAUGACAUCAUAGCCAUUGGAUUAGCCUCCCCUGGGAAAAUCCUCCUCUCCAAUUUUGGAAGGAAAGGUGAAAGCGAUUUGAUCAGCAAAGAAUUCUGUCCGAAACACCAACGCCAUUGCAUUUACUUAUCCUGGAACCCGGUCCACACACACUUUUUAGCUGAAGGACUUGACAAGGCCCGCAACGAAAGCUGCAUCUAUAUAUGGGACGUGAAUGCGCGCACAAACAACGACCUGUCAGUCCUUCAAGAUAGAAGAUACAGCUCCAGCAUGGCCGAGGCAUCUGUUGUCAAACCGUGUCUGGAAAUCGGUGCUGGGGAUAUGACAUCAUCAUUUUCCUGGUUCAAGAAAGAGACCUGGACGUUUGUGGCUGGCAUGAAUGGGAAACAGCUCAGAGUGUACGAUUUACGAGAGCCUUCUAGAGCCCAUUUGAUCACCCACAGCAAGAGUGUGUUUGGCGUCUGCAGCGAUCCGUUGCAUGAGUCCAGAGUGGCAGCUUAUUCAGAGAGCCACGUAUCGGUGUGGGAUGUAAGACAGUUUGAAAAGCCAAUACUCGGGAUUCCGACGGAGAGAGAGGUGUUGAAGAUAGCCUGGUGCCCGACCAGGAGCGGAGACUUAGCUGUACUUUGCAAGGGGAGCACCAUAGUAAAGUUGUACGACGUCCGACAUUCCGUGACUGGGACAGAUGAUCUUGAACCCGUUAUCUUCGAUCGAACACUGCAGCCAAACCGACAGCACGCAGUGAACUACUUUGCGUGGCAUCCAACAUGCGAGAAUCGAAUAUCCACAUUGACACCCACAGGCCAUGUGAACGAUAACUUCAUAUUUGAUAAGCUGCCCAUUAGCUUAAAUGCAAAUAUGACCCCUGCCUGGAUCUUCGGUCGUCAGAUCAACAUUCAGACUUAUGAGGCUGAGGCAGACAUGUCGGUGCGCAUCAAGCAACGUGCCAAGCAGGAAUAUGGACUGCAUAGGGACAACUUGUGGAAGAAUGCAGUGGUGGUGGCAGAUGAGCCCAAUCUUCAUGCGCUUUGGCACUGGCUUGAUCUAUCGACCAAACUUCUCAACAAAGAGGAAGUCCCGAAGAAGUUGACGAAGACUGGUCGCUACAUCGGGGUGCUUGACCUUCUCCACCUUCAAGACGCUAUCGAGGAGACAGAGUCAGAGGAGGUGUGCCUAACGUGGCAGUACCCAGACGGUAUUCACGGAGGUGGGCGUGAGAAAAAACCCAUGCUGCAAUACACGAGUAAGGCUAGACUGCGGUGCCUACAAUUGUGUGGUUGGUGGUACAACAAGGAGCCUGAUGACCUAACAGACCCCAUCGAGCUCUUCCUCGACAGUAUGGUGAAUGAAAACAUGGAAUAUGAGCGGGCAGCGGCUAUUGCGCUCUUCAAUUUGAAGAUUGGAAGAGCUGUUGAGAUUCUGAGCAGUGACAUCACUGUGAAAGAUACACCACAACUUGGGCUUGUUGCCAUGGCAUUAUCUGGAUUCACCGAAGAGCGCAACGCAAUGUGGCGUAAAACUUGUACUGAACUUCGACUGUCCAUGAAAGAUCCAUAUCUGCGUGCAAUGUUUUCUUUCCUGGCAAGCGAUCGGGAUAAUUAUGAUGAAGUUUUGAAAGACGAUGUGUGUAUGGCUGUGAAGGACAGAGUGGCCUUUGCCUGCCUAUAUCUGAACAGUUCCAAGUUACUGACUUAUUUGACGGAACUCUGCAAGAAUCUGAAGCAGAAGGGCGAUUUGGACGGCAUACUAUUAACUGGUUUAACCAAUGAGGAGGGACUAGAAUUGCUAGGGAAUUAUGUAGACCUGACCAGCGAUAUACAAACGGCAGCUUUGGCGGUCAUGUACAGUUCACCUAGCGAUCUAUCUCGGAAUGAGCAGGUCUUGAAUUGGAUUGAGGGCUACAGAGAUUUGCUCAACCAAUGGAAAAUGUGGCAUCACAGGGCGAAGUUUGACAUUAUUCAACACGCCAUAGCCAACGAUCAGAACAGGGUUCAAGGGCAGUGCUUUGUGAGCUGCAACUACUGUGGGAAGUCGAUAGCAUGUAACCGGAUCGUUGCGUCACGGUUGCGAUCCAGCACUAGCUCUUACAAUACCAACCAACCUCCCGGAAACAAACCAAAGAACACAAUAUGCCCAGGCUGCCGGAAGCCUCUUCCACGCUGCGCACUCUGUCUAACCAAUCUGGGAACACCGUCUGGGUCAAACCUCCAUCUUCAGGAAGAGAAGUCAGAAUAUGAAGUCAAGCUAUCAUCAUUUGAUAACUGGUUUGCCUGGUGCCAGACGUGUCGUCAUGGCGGCCAUUCUGGCCACAUUACUGACUGGUUCAGAGACCACAAAGAGUGCCCAGUGACUGGUUGCCAAUGUCACUGCAUGACUCUUGACCCAAAUAGUCAAUUAGUGGCUGAUAACUCUGUAUGAUGUGGAAAUUCAGUAAAGUGAAGGACGAGUGGAUUGUCAGGCCUACUGCAGGGCGAGUGGCUCUGAAGAAAAAUCAAGGCCUGAAUAGUUAAUAACGGUAUUAUGCAGGAAUUGGAUAGCAUUACCCUAACAGUCAGUUGAUGGCAGAUGAUAUUUUUAUAAUGCUGGAAUUUAUUUUUCCUUACCUGAAUUGUCUGCCAUUGGAUGCUGCAAUUUGAUAAUCUGGUAAUUAAAAUCAGUUAAUUGCCUUAUUAGAUUGUAUAAUGCUGUUUGUCAGUGCAUAUGGUCUCAGCCUAGGGACUGAGAGGUCACGGGUUUGAUCCCUUCAGUGGGAGCGUUCUUAAGAUCUCCCCCAUAGACACCAAGUACUGGUUCUAACCAGAAAAGGGACUCUAGAUCAUUUCAAUAAGCCUGAAGCUUUCGAUGCAAUCAUGCUAAAAUAAAUAGAUUUAUAAUAAAUUUAUAAUUAUAUUAUAAUAAUAUAUAGUCAGUUAGCGGCCAAUCACACUUAGUGAUUCAGUAUUCCGAUUCAUGUAAUAAUAAUAAAAAACUAUGAGAUUUACACGAUAUUAAUGAAAAAUGAUAAACAUUGGUUUGCAUUUAUUUUUCCAAAGUGUGCUACAAAAUUUAAAGAAAAAAAUAACAGACUUUUUGUGUCACUAAGGUUUGGUGAAAACUUGCCAAUCUUUUCAAAUUGAUGCCAUGUACUUUUUUGAUUAUGAAAACUGUUUCUUUGUCUGGCUCCUGCUUCAAUAGAUAAUGAUAGAUCUCACCAUUUCAGUCUGUGCAAGUGAUUUCCAGUUCAUUCAAUGAAGGUUGUUUCGUUUCUUAUGUGUGUGGGUGAUAAAUCAAUUAAUUAUUUUUUAUGCUGAAAAGUUAUCUUUAAAACGGAGAUGUCUUCUGUUAAUGCUGGAACUAUUUGUGUUUCGCACGAAUUCAGCUUACUAGAUUAACAUACUGUCCAUUUAUCAAGGUACUGUGAUUUGAAUUAAAAAUUAUUUUUAAAUCCUUUAUCGUUCACAUCAUUGGAAAUGUAUUUUCUCUUGUGUUACAUUUCUGAUCAACAGGUUUACAUUAUGUUACAGACAACUUGUGUGAUUUGUGUUGUUUUUUUACUAUUUAUAGGUGCAGUAAUGUAGUGUUACACUGAAAGAUAAUUAUGCUAGGCAAAGCUUUUUUAUUUAAAAAAAAAAAUCGCUUGUGUAAUGUGACUUUUAUUUGACACACCAUUUUGUUAAAUACUUUGUAGUUAAAUUCCUUAAAUCUUGGAGGAUUUUUUUUUAACGCAAGUUUAAAUAUAAAAAGGGUAUUUAUUUGCUAACAAGUGCUAAAUGUGAGCAUUUCACAUUUUUGUUACUAUUUUGUUGAGGUUUGUUUCAUUAUAGCUACAUGUUUAUGUAUGCCACAAUGUAUACAUGUGUUAUUUAAUGGCUGUAAAACUGUUGUU